UACGUAGGCAGCGAGCGUUGUUCGGAGUUACUGGGCGUAAAGGGUGUGUAGGCGGUUGUUUAAGUUUGGUGUGAAAUCUCCCGGCUCAACUGGGAGGGUGCGCCGACUACUGAAUGACUUGGAGUGCGGGAGAGGAGAGUGGAAUUCCUGGUGUAGCGGUGAAAUGCGUAGAUAUCAGGAGGAACACCGGUGGUGUAGACGGCUCUCUGGACCGUAACUGACGCUGAGACACGAAAGCGUGGGGAGCGAACAGG
rnacentral:rRNA from 1 species